UACGUAGGGUGCGAGCGUUAAUCGGAAUUACUGGGCGUAAAGCGUGCGCAGGCGGUUGGGUAAGACAGGUGUGAAAUCCCCGAGCUCAACUUGGGAAUUGCGCUUGUUACUGGGCAGCUAGAGUGUGUCAGAGGGAGGUAGAAUUCCACGUGUAGCAGUGAAAUGCGUAGAGAUGUGGAGGAAUACCGAUGGCGAAGGCAGCCUCCUGGGAUAACACUGACGCUCAUGCACGAAAGCGUGGGGAGCAAACAGG
rnacentral:rRNA from 1 species